CUGUAAGCCUGUGAAGGUGGCCUGUGAGGGUUGCUGGAGGUAUCAGAAGUGCGAAUGCUGACAUAAGUAACGAUAAAGCGGGUGAAAAGCCCGCUCGCCGGAAGACCAAGGGUUCCUGUCCAACGUUAAUCGGGGCAGGGUGAGUCGACCCCUAAGGCGAGGCCGAAAGGCGUAGUCGAUGGGAAACGGGUUAAUAUUCCCGUACUUGGUGUUACUGCGAAGGGGGGACGGAGAAGGCUAUGUUGGCCGGGCGACGGUUGUCCCGGUUUAAGCGUGUAGGUGUGUGUUCCAGGUAAAUCCGGUUCACUUUAACACUGAGGCGUGAUGACGAGGCACUACGGUGCUGAAGCAACAAAUGCCCUGCUUCCAGGAAAAGCCUCUAAGCAUCAGGUAACAUCAAAUCGUACCCCAAACCGACACAGGUGGUCAGGUAGAGAAUACCAAGGCGCUUGAGAGAACUCGGGUGAAGGAACUAGGCAAAAUGGUGCCGUAACUUCGGGAGAAGGCACGCUGACAUGUAGGUGAAGUGAUUUACUCACGGAGCUGAAGUCAGUCGAAGAUACCAGCUGGCUGCAACUGUUUAUUAAAAACACAGCACUGUGCAAACACGAAAGUGGACGUAUACGGUGUGACGCCUGCCCGGUGCCGGAAGGUUAAUUGAUGGGGUCAGCGCAAGCGAAGCUCCUGAUCGAAGCCCCGGUAAACGGCGGCCGUAACUAUAACGGUCCUAAGGUAGCGAAAUUCCUUGUCGGGUAAGUUCCGACCUGCACGAAUGGCGUAAUGAUGGCCAGGCUGUCUCCACCCGAGACUCAGUGAAAUUGAACUCGCUGUGAAGAUGCAGUGUACCCGCGGCAAGACGGAAAGACCCCGUGAACCUUUACUAUAGCUUGACACUGAACAUUGAGCCUUGAUGUGUAGGAUAGGUGGGAGGCUUUGAAGCGUGGACGCCAGUCUGCGUGGAGCCGACCUUGAAAUACCACCCUUUAAUGUUUGAUGUUCUAACGUGGACCCGUGAUCCGGGUUGCGGACAGUGUCUGGUGGGUAGUUUGACUGGGGCGGUCUCCUCCUAAAGAGUAACGGAGGAGCACGAAGGUUGGCUAAUCCUGGUCGGACAUCAGGAGGUUAGUGCAAUGGCAUAAGCCAGCUUGACUGCGAGCGUGACGGCGCGAGCAGGUGCGAAAGCAGGUCAUAGUGAUCCGGUGGUUCUGAAUGGAAGGGCCAUCGCUCAACGGAUAAAAGGUACUCCGGGGAUAACAGGCUGAUACCGCCCAAGAGUUCAUAUCGACGGCGGUGUUUGGCACCUCGAUGUCGGCUCAUCACAUCCUGGGGCUGAAGUAGGUCCCAAGGGUAUGGCUGUUCGCCAUUUAAAGUGGUACGCGAGCUGGGUUUAGAACGUCGUGAGACAGUUCGGUCCCUAUCUGCCGUGGGCGCUGGAGAACUGAGGGGGGCUGCUCCUAGUACGAGAGGACCGGAGUGGACGCAUCACUGGUGUUCGGGUUGUCAUGCCAAUGGCACUGCCCGGUAGCUAAAUGCGGAAGAGAUAAGUGCUGAAAGCAUCUAAGCACGAAACUUGCCCCGA
rnacentral:rRNA from 1 species